rnacentral:rRNA from 1 species
UACGUAGGGUGCGAGCGUUAAUCGGAAUUACUGGGCGUAAAGCGUGCGCAGGCGGUUUUGUAAGCCAGAUGUGAAAUCCCCGGGCCGUUAACCUGGGAAUGGCAUUUGGGGACUGCAAGGCUUGAGUGCGGCAGAGGAGACGUGGAAUUCCUGGUGUAGCAGUGAAAUGCGUAGAUAUCAGGAGGAACACCGAGUGCGGAAGGCA